GGGCGUAUGGUCUAGUGGUCAAGACGUCUCAGUUGCAAAAAGUGUUGUUGCUUUGCUCUUGUUGAAUGAUACAACAGAUGCAAGGGUUCCAAUGAUACAAGAUUUGCUCCCUGAGAAGGUCCCAGGUUCGAAUCCUGGUAUGUCCA